rnacentral:lncRNA from 1 species
UGGCUUCCGCGAUGAGCUGGUGGACAAAUUCAACAAACAAGAGUUCAUGGGAAUAUAGAAAGGGUGGCAGAUUUGAUAGAUCACUCGUCUAAAAGUUGGAAGGGCUCAUUACCAGUACUUUUACUCCUGAUGAAGCUGCAGCCAUUCGGUGUAUUCCCUUAUCCAAAAGGGUUGAUGUUGACAAGAUUGUUUGGUGGGGUGAGAAUAGAGGAGAAUACUCUGUCCGGAGAGGCUAUAGAACUCUAAUCAGCAACCAGAUGACAGUGGACGACAUACGUGGGAGCAGAGAAAUUAACAAAAAACUCUGGCAAUUACAGAUUCCUCCUAAAAUAAAAAUUGCAAACAGGCAAAUACUACAUAAUUACAUCCCUAAAGCCUAUAUUCUAUACAAAAAAAGGAUUGCGGCCUCCUCGACAUGUCCCAGAUAUGGCGGUGAGCCUGAAACAUCGAUGCAUGUCAUGACAAGGUGUGGCCCUGCAAAAGAGGCAUGAGAUUUAAUUAGUAUUGGUUGGCCUUCGAGUCUUAAUACUGAUUAUAUAUGGGCCUGGUUUGACUUUGUUUUAAAGCAUGGAAGUAAUUAUACCUGCAAAGUUGUAGCGAUCACAGUUUGGGCAAUUUGGCAUGCUCGAAACAAGCAGGUCAUGCAAGGCAAGCAACAAACAGCUCAGGAUAUUACUAUCAGAGUGGCUAGUCUAGUACGGGAGUUUGAUGAGAUAAACCGGAAAUUACUUGACCAGAGAGAGACCAUGAAAACUCACUAGAAACCUCCACAGGACCCAAACGUAAAAGCGAACUUUGAUGCAGCGUUCAAACCGCAAAUACACCAAUUGUGCUCUAGGUUCGUUAUCAGGAAUGAGAUAGGGUUAAUAGUGGGCAGUGGUGCAGUUAAGAAUGAUUAUAUCUCAAACUCUUUUUCUCCUGGAGCUAUAGCAUGUAUCCAAGCUCUAAAGUUUGCGGAAGAGAUGGGAUUUAGACAGCUUGGAGUGGAGGGCGAUUCCCAAAUUAUAAUCGUGAAAAUCAACCAAGGCGUAGUAGACAGAUCUAAUAUGGUUGUCUAUAUUGAGGAGAUUAAAGCUAUGGCAACAUGCUUUCAAAGGAUUUCCUUCAAGCAUGCAGACAAAAAUGCUAAUGGUGUAGCUCAUAUAAUCGCCCAGUAGAGAUUUAAUUUGACUGAAAAUACGUUUUGGGUUGAGGAGGUACCUCUAGAGGCAGUCGAAGCGGUGAAUCAAGAUAAUCAAAUUCCGACUCCUUCAAAUUGAAGCAAGAUGAUCUCUUCCCAGCUAAUGCAUGGCUGUUAUGCGAUCCGAAAAUGGGUUAUGAAGCUUCGAGAUUUCUUUCUGGUUUUGUGUUUUUUACUGUUUCGACCCUUCAGCUCACCCGGGCUACCCAGAUAUUUAUUUUGUUUAUGGUAUUUAUUAAAUGUUAUGUUUUGGUUUUGUUUAUUAAUAAAUAAUAUCUUGGUAUUUUCUUUCAAAAAAAAAAGAAAAAAAACUAUUUACUAUAAUUUAAAAAAAAUCAAUUCUAAGGCAAAUUCCUUAUAAGAAAUAUAGUGAUAAUUUUGGAAUAAAAAAAUCCAUAUAUUUUGUUAAUAUUUCCAACAUUCUCAUUGUAUAAUAAAAAGUAUUGUAUUGUAUUGUAUUAUAUUUAGUAUAAAAA